AGAACGCCGCCGGAGCACACGAGGGUUUUUUAACCAGCAUACUUGUUAUGUGGUAGUCGUGCCGGGGGUUCUUUCUUUU
rnacentral:ncRNA from 12 species